UGUGUGUUGAUGUUAUGUUUCAUUGUUUGCUGUCUAUGAUGAGAGUGAUCAGUUAUCCCUGUCUGAAGUGUCUGUGCUUCAGUGUAGAACUAUUAGUUUAUGACUGAGAUGGCAAGUUGUGUGUAGUCUAUUUAUCUUGAUUACAUUGCAGAUGCCAUGACAUUGUCUUGAUUUCUGGUGAACUAUGGCAAGCUGAUGAGAAUUUCCUAAGGAAACUGAAAAUUUAGUUAACUCCAAAAUUGAAAGGUACUUCCAAAAGUUUGAGUGUCAGGAGUUUCAUGAUUUGAAAAAGGUAUCUGAGUCAUCCAAACCGUCAACAUGUGGUCGACAGGCAUGCACAAGUUAAAGAAUGUCAGAAUUUCUACAGGCACAAGUCUUGCAGACAGUCAUUGUGGAAAGCGCCAAUUUUGCACUAAUUUAGGAGGUGUGAAAAUCUUAGAUUCUUGGACAAAGUUGGGGGUGGGGCUUGCUUGAACCCUGGGCCAGUGGGGUAAUACUCAAGCAAGGAUUGUGUACAGUCAGUUGCAGAGAGUAGAGGAGGCAUGCCUUAGUCAAUCUCGGGGAGUCAAGCAGUAUCAAGUACAUCAGAAUGCAUGCAGGAAUUCCACACAAUAGACAAGAUGGCUGUCUUUAUUAGACACCUGUGUAAUGGGCUUCAGAUGUCAACAAUUUGAGAAUGACCAGGUACAAGGCUAAGGGAUUCAGAAGACAACUUUUAGGUGAAAUUGAGAUGAGCUAACAGAGCAAUGCGAAGACAGCCUACACACAUUGACCUAAAGCGUUACUCAGCGUAGCUUGAUGUUGUUCCAAACAUUGGUUACUCCUUUGACUCUUCUACUUUGAUGAAUGCCUCACCACUUCCAGAAUUGUGGUGGACAAGAGACUUGUGCAUAGGCGUGACAGCAACCCAAGGCGUAUGCCUUUUCAUGUAGAAUGCGAAGAGAAUGAUCACAACGAUAACUGCAAACACGAUUGCACCGCCGAUACAACCACCAAUGAUGGCCGAUUCUAACAGACAAAACAACUUUUAAUUUGUGUAAAUGGAUGAGACUAGCAUUAAGCGAUAUCUUUUUAUUAAUAUUAAUAAAUUGAUAAGAAUAUGUUGGUUUGUUAUUUUUAAAUAGUCUGUAAUAUGUUAGAAUGUUAUUUUGUUGUUUAAAAUUAAAGGAAAGGUAA